rnacentral:rRNA from 1 species
GGCACGCCUUAUACAUGCAAGUCGAACGGAGUAGCAAUACUUAGUGGCAGACGGGUGAGUAACAUGUGGGUAUCUUCCCUUUGGUGAGGAAUAACACGAGGAAACUUGUGCUAAUACCUCAUAAGUCUUUACGGAGAAAGCUUUAUGCGCCAAUGGAUGAGCCCGCACUUGAUUAGUUUGUUGGUGGGGUAAUGGCCUACCAAGACAUAGAUCAAUAGCUGAUCUGAGAGGAUGAUCAGCCACAUUGGGACUGAGACACGGCCCAAACUCCUACGGGAGGCAGCAGUAGGGAAUAUUGCACAAUGGAGGAAACUCUGAUGCAGCGAUGCCGCGUGAGUGAAGAAGGCCCUUGGGUUGUAAAGCUCUUUCGUCGGGGAAGAAAAUGACUGUACCCGAAUAAGAAGGUCCGGCUAACUUCGUGCCAGCAGCCGCGGUAAUACGAAGGGACCUAGCGUAGUUCGGAAUUACUGGGCUUAAAGAGUUCGUAGGUGGUUAAAAAAGUUGGUGGUGAAAUCCCAGAGCUUAACUCUGGAACUGCCAUCAAAACUUUUUAGCUAGAGUAUGAUAGAGGAAAGCAGAAUUUCUAGUGUAGAGGUGAAAUUCGUAGAUAUUAGAAAGAAUACCAAUUGCGAAGGCAGCUUUCUGGAUCAUUACUGACACUGAGGAACGAAAGCAUGGGUAGCGAAGAGGAUUAGAUACCCUCGUAGUCCAUGCCGUAAACGAUGUGUGUUAGACGUUGGAAAUUUAUUUUCAGUGUCGCAGCAAAAGCAGUAAACACACCGCCUGGGGAGUACGACCG